rnacentral:tRNA from 1 species
GGAAAGAUGGUUCAGUGGAUAGAGCACUGACCUGAGACUCAGAGAUCUAGGUUUAAUUCCUAGCUCAGCCA